UUGUCUCUGUUCCUGGAGUGUAGGCAGAGCGCUCUAGCUCAGUCAAGGCAAGGUAAUUGUCCACCCGGACCGUCCUGAACCAAGCUGAGAGAAACAACAAACCGGCACUCGGAUCGUCCUUGCUGACCUCCAAAUUCUACACCCUGAGAUAUCCUGUUCCUGGCCUGGCCGCAGAAGACUGACCGUACCUGGGACCGUACCGACAACCCCGAAGCCGAGCACCACAUCGGAUCCCUGGGUAACUCUGUUGGUGGCAGGUCUACUUAACGGGACCCACAUCCAUCUGGCUCACCGGAGUACAAGAAGAAUUGGUCUCAGAUCUCCAAGUAGAUGAGUAAUUUCCCCCAGAAUCGACAGCCUUUCCCUUCACUCCAUGCCCAAAUAAUAAGAGCUCUGUCUGAGACCCCCAUCUUCUUCAAACAUCAUCUUCUUCGAUUUCUCUGGGAUGCAUACUUACAGGGGGAUUUUGACUUCUCUUGGGAGGAGAUACAUCAUGCUCUAGACCCUGAUCAACUAAGUAGUCUCCCCUUCGAUUACA